rnacentral:ncRNA from 1 species
GCGCAGCCCUGAAUCUUUGGGGCCUGUCGUCGAGAGGCGACUUGAAUAACUGGGUGAAUUCGGGGAACAUUCCGCAAAACGGAACAAUCCCGAGCCAAGCUCCGAAGGGCCUAGGUUUCGGAGAAGGUGUAGAGACUAGCAGGUGAGUCCCAACAAUAAUCCUGCAUCAGCGCCCGGCCCCCACCUUUCAAUUGAAAGAUGGGGGGUGAUAUAGUCCAAAUCAGCUUUGGAAGAGGCUG